rnacentral:rRNA from 1 species
AGAGAGAGACAUGCGCGCAUAUCAAUAAGCGGAGGAAAAGAAACUAACAAGGAUUCCCCUAGUAACGGCGAGUGAAGCGGGAAGAGCUCAAAUUUGAAAUCUUAAAGGGUUUCCCUUUACGAAUUGUAGUUUAAAGAAGUGUUUUCUGUUGAGGUUUUGGUAAAAGUUCUUUGGAAUAGGACAUCAUAGAGGGUGAGAAUCCCGUAUUUGACCUUUACUUUCAACUUUGUGAUACACUUUCAAAGAGUCGGAUUGUUUGGGAAUGCAGUCCAAAAUGGGUGGUAAAUUUCAUCUAAAGCUAAAUAUUGGCGAGAGACCGAUAGCGAACAAGUACCGUGAGGGAAAGAUGAAAAGAACUUUGAAAAGAGAGUUAAACAGUACGUGAAAUUGUCAAAAGGGAAGCGUUUGACACCAGAUGUUGUUUUUCUGAAAAUCAAUUAAAGAACUGUUUAUGCUAAGUUGUUUAGACUUUAUCAGCUAUCUGUUUAGUUUUGAGCUUUUCUUUAAUGCACUUUUCAGUUAACAAGUCAACAUCAAUUUCUUUUGCUGUAAAAAAGCUUGAGGAAGGUGGCUUGAGAUUCGUCUUAAGUGUUUAUAGCCUCUUGCCUAUGCAGUCGGAGAGAUUGAGGUCUGCAGCGUAGAUCCUUCGGGGCUAAAUGCAUUUGUGCUAAGUUAUAGCAUUUUAUAGACAACUUGUUGACUAUGAUUUGUCUUGUAGCUUACUCGCUUAUGUUAUUUUACCUACGCUUAGGAUGUUGAGCGCAUGUCUCUCUCU